GGGUGGAGAAACAAAAAUUCUAACGUGAUAAAUGGUUUUAGUAGGUGCUGCGGUCCCAUCGAUGUACGGUACCUCACCUAACAAUUAUUGGUGAUACGUAUAUCAAUACGUGGAUAACUUUUUAUCCAAAUACUUUUCCAAACAUAUUGCAGCAACUUGGUCUUUAAGUCCUGUGGUUUCACCUAACAGUUAUUGGCACAUUCCUUAGUUAAGUCCGAUCCACUGUUCAUCAGUGAAUACAAAGCCGUC
rnacentral:lncRNA from 1 species